CCUACGGGAGGCAGCAGUGAGGAAUAUUGGACAAUGGGCGCAAGCCUGAUCCAGCCAUGCCGCGUGCAGGAAGAAGCAUCUAUGGUGUGUAAACUGCUUUUGUACAGGAAGAAACACUCCCUCGUGAGGGAGCUUGACGGUACUGUAAGAAUAAGGACCGGCUAACUCCGUGCCAGCAGCCGCGGUAAUACGGAGGGUCCAAGCGUUAUCCGGAAUCAUUGGGUUUAAAGGGUCCGUAGGCGGUUUAAUAAGUCAGUGGUGAAAUCUGGUCGCUCAACGAUCAAACGGCCAUUGAUACUGUUAGACUUGAAUUAUAAGGAAGUAACUAGAAUAUGUAGUGUAGCGGUGAAAUGCUUAGAUAUUACAUGGAAUACCAAUUGCGAAGGCAGGUUACUACUUAUGGAUUGACGCUGAAUGGACGAAAGCGUGGGGAGCGAACAGGAUUAGAUACCCUGGUAGUCCACGCCGUAAAACGGAUAGGAUACUAGCUGUUCGGAGACAUCUGUAGUGGUCGUAAGACGAAGUAGAGUAAGUAUACCGUACCGUACGGGUAGGUACGGUUCGUCGAACGAAGUAGAAACGUACGAAACGAAGUUAGUACGGACGUAGAGACGUACGACGACGGACGACGACGAGGGAGGAGG
rnacentral:rRNA from 1 species